UACGGAGGAUCCGAGCGUUAUCCGGAUUUAUUGGGUUUAAGGGUGCGCAGGCGGGAGAUUAAGUCGGCGGUGAAAUUUUGCAGCUCAACUGUAAAAGUGCCUUCGAUACUGGUUUCCUUGAGUGUGGAUGAAGUAGGCGGAAUUUGUGGUGUAGCGGUGAAAUGCAUAGAUAUCACGAGGAACUCCGAUUGCGCAGGCAGCUUACUAAACCAUAACUGACGCUCAAGCACGAAGGCGUGGGGAUCAAACAGGAUUAGAUACCCCU
rnacentral:rRNA from 1 species